rnacentral:rRNA from 1 species
CCGACGGUGAGGGACGAAAGCUGGGGGAGCAAACCGGAUUAGAUACCCGGGUAGUCCCAGCCGUAAACGAUGUGCGUUAGGUGUAUCGGUGACCACGAGUCACCGAGGUGCCGAAGAGAAAUCGUGAAACGUACCGCCUGGGAAGUACGGUCGCAAGGCUGAAACUUAAAGGAAUUGGCGGGGGAGCACCACAACAGGUGGAGCCUGCGGUCUAAUCGGACUCAACGCCGGGAAACUCACCAGAUAAGACAGCUGAAUGAUAGUCGGGCUGAAGACUCUACUUGACUAGCUGAGAGGAGGUGCAUGGCCGUCGUCGGUUCGUACUGUGAAGCAUCCUGUUAAGUCAGGCAACGAGCGAGACCCACGCCAACAGUUGCU